rnacentral:rRNA from 1 species
UUAAAUUGAAGAGUUUGAUCAUGGCUCAGAUUGAACGCUGGCGGCAGGCCUAACACAUGCAAGUCGAACGGUAACAGGAAUCAGCUUGCUGAUUCGCUGACGAG